AAGGGUCACGCAAGAUGGCGGCGCCCAGAGGCUGCUGAGGCGUGGAACGGAGGAUGGCGCUGGUGGCGUUGGUGGCUGGGGCUCGGCUGGGGCGGCGGCUGAGCGGGCCGGGGCCGGUGCGAGGGCACUGGACGGCGGCCGGGCGCUCGCGGAGCCGGCGCGAAGCGGCAGAGGCCGAGGCGGAGGUGCCCGUGUUCCAGUACGUGGGCGAGCGCGCUGCCCGCGCCGAUCGCGUCUUCGUGUGGGGCUUCAGCUUCUCGGGGGCGCUAGGCGUGCCCUCCUUUGUGGUGCCCAGCUCCGGGCCCGGGCCCCGCGCCGGCGCCCGGCCGCGCCGCAGGAUCCAGCCCGUGCCCUAUCGCCUGGAGCUGGACCAAAAGAUUUCGUCUGCUGCUUGCGGCUAUGGAUUCACACUGCUGUCCUCUAAGACCGCGGAUGUUACGAAAGUCUGGGGGAUGGGACUCAACAAAGAUUCUCAGCUUGGAUUUCACAGGAGCCGGAAAGAUAAAACAAGGGGCUACGAGUAUGUGUUGGAGCCCUCACCCGUCUCCCUGCCUCUGGACAGACCUCAGGAGACACGGGUGCUGCAGGUCUCCUGCGGCCGAGCUCACUCUCUUGUGUUGACUGACAGGGAAGGAGUCUUCAGCAUGGGAAACAAUUCUUACGGGCAAUGUGGAAGAAAGGUGGUCGAAAAUGAAAUUUACAGUGAAAGUCACAGAAUCCACAGAAUGCAGGACUUCGAUGGCCACGUGGUCCAGGUUGCCUGUGGUCAGGAUCAUAGUCUGUUCCUGACGGAUAAAGGAGAAGUCUAUUCUUGUGGAUGGGGCGCUGAUGGGCAAACAGGUCUGGGUCACUACAAUAUCACCAGCUCGCCCACCAAGCUAGGUGGAGACCUGGCGGGAGUGAACAUUAUCCAAGUUGCCACCUACGGUGAUUGCUGCCUGGCCGUGUCUGCCGACGGAGGACUUUUUGGUUGGGGAAACUCGGAGUACCUGCAGUUGGCCUCUGUCACUGACUCCACACAGGUGAAUGUGCCCCGCUGCUUACACUUCUCAGGAGUGGGGAAGGUGCGACAGGCUGCAUGCGGUGGCACGGGCUGUGCAGUGUUAAACGGAGAAGGACAUGUUUUUGUCUGGGGCUAUGGAAUUCUUGGGAAAGGUCCAAACCUAGUGGAAAGUGCCGUCCCUGAAAUGAUUCCACCCACUCUCUUUGGCUUGAGGGAGUUCAACCCAGAAAUCCAGGUUUCCCGCAUCCGAUGUGGACUCAGCCACUUUGCUGCACUGACCAGUAAGUUACCAAGCCCGACAGCCCCAGUGUGAGCCCGGCAGAGGUUCUCUCUCUCCAGUUCAACCCCAGACUGCGGGCAGCUCUCAGGUUCCACCCAUCCAACAGAACGGCGCCUUUGUACUGAUAACUCAAGCGAGGGCUAAGCCAGAAGUUGUUUGCCUCGAGGUUGUAUAAUGUGUCUUGUUUUCCCCCUCUGGAGUUUUAAUUUUGGUUCAUUUGGUUUGUGGGUAGGCUAACGUGAACAUGCAUUUUCUCAAGAGAGCACCCGUUGGUGGUAGGAAGGGGCACUGCUAGUACGUCGGGUGCCGGAGGAAACCAGCAGAGGCUU
rnacentral:sRNA from 1 species